AGAUAAACUGUGAACAGGAAUAAUGUUCAGCAAAGUAAGAUUUACAAAUAAGUCAACAUGACGGAAAUGGUCAGUUGACCCCUUUAGGAGUUAUUGCCCUUUAUAGUCAAUUUUUAACCAUUUUUCGUGAAUCUUAGUAAUCUUUUACAAAAAUCUUCUCCUCUGAAACUACUGGGCCAAAUACUUCCAAACUUUAACUGAAUGUUCCUUAGGGUAUCUAGUUUGUAAAUUGUAUCCGAAAUUAUGAUCUAUCAACAAACAUGGU
rnacentral:lncRNA from 1 species